rnacentral:rRNA from 1 species
GAUGAACGCUGGCGGCGUGCUUAACACAUGCAAGUCGAACGGAAAGGCCCUGCUUUUGUGGGGUGCUCGAGUGGCGAACGGGUGAGUAACACGUGAGUAACCUGCCCUUGUCUUUGGGAUAACUUCAGGAAACUGGGGCUAAUACCGGAUAGGAGCUCCUGCAGCAUGGUGGGGGUUGGAAAGUUUCGGCUGUUGGGGAUGGACUCGCGGCUUAUCAGCUUGUUGGUGGGGUAGUGGCUUACCAAGGCUUUGACGGGUAGGCGGCCUGGGAGGGUGACCGGCGUCAAGGGGACUGAGAGAGGGCCCAGACUGCUACGGGAGGCAGCGGUGGGGAGUAUGACACAGUGAGCGGGAGCCUGUGGCGGCGGCCCCGCGUGCGUGAUGACGGCCUUCUGGUUGUGAACCGCUUUCGCCUGAGACGAAGCGGGAGUGACGGUAAUGAGUAAAGAAGCACCGGCUAACUACGUG